CACGUUGGGCUAUGGAGCAUGCUAGAGCCACUUAAGAGACGCCGCGAUGUCGUCGUGUCUUAGUUGCUCGUGCAUCCCCCUAGCCCACCGUG